UCGUCAGCUCGUGCCGUGAGGUGUCGGCUUAAGUGCCAUAACGAGCGCAACCCUUAUCUUUAGUUACUAACAGGUCAUGCUGAGGACUCUAGAGAGACUGCCGUCGUAAGAUGUGAGGAAGGUGGGGAUGACGUCAAAUCAGCACGGCCCUUACGUCCGGGGCUACACACGUGUUACAAUGGGGGGUACAGAAGGCAGCUAGCGGGUGACCGUAUGCUAAUCCCAAAAUCCUCUCUCAGUUCGGAUCGAAGUCUGCAACCCGACUUCGUGAAGCUGGAUUCGCUAGUAAUCGCGCAUCAGCCACGGCGCGGUGAAUACGUUCCCGGGCCUUGUACACACCGCCCGUCAAGCCAUGGGAGCCGGGGGUACCUGAAGUACGUAACCGCAAGGAUCGUCCUAGGGUAAAACUGGUGACUGGGGCUAAGUCGUAACAAGGUAACCGUA
rnacentral:rRNA from 1 species